CACCAAUCUCACCCACCCGCUCCACCUUAUCUCCUAGCUUCCUUUUCUUCUUCAUCUGCAAGCAAACCAGAGGGAGAGAAAACCCUACCGAGCACCCCCACCUCACCAUGGCGCCGUCGUGUCAGGCCACCCCUCGCUAAGCUGAUGCCACCGACGGAUGCGCCUCGUUGUCCUCUUCCUCGUGGUGAAAGGAAUCGAGCCAGGAGCCCUUCAAUCAAGCACACGGUCGCCGUUCCCUUCUCCAUUUGGCCAUGCUCCGGCGAUGAUUUCGUCGCCGCCCUUCGUCCUCCUCCUCUUCUGACCACGCCAUCGGCUUCAGGGACCUCGUCGCCGGCGAACUUCCGGCGGUUCUCCGAUACCACAACCGCCACCAUCAGGACCAGCAAGUGGAGGCGCAUCUCCAGCACCUACGCACGCAUCCCGAUUUGCUCGGAAGCCUCAGAUCGAAACUCGUCUGCAAGCUCAGCCAUGGCAGACUCUUCCCAGAUCUUCCGCGCCGACCUUGUUGAAAAGGUUGCGCACAUCUUUCUAAACAACAUCAGGCGCAUAGCCCAUCUGAUUCGACGCCUACUGGGCCUUGGCCCAUUUCUCUCCUGGUGUAGACGUUGCCUGCGUGCAGCAUCCUGCUAUCCAUCGCCGUUUCGGCCACAUUUGCUUCUUCUCGGAUAGGAUCAUGAAGUGGUGUUGUGAGAUACGACAAGUUCUCCGGAUGUUCCUCGGCAAGCUUUAACA